ensembl:lncRNA
AACAUCCUUAUCUCUAAGUUGGAGAGGUAUGGAUCUGAAGGAUGGUCUAUUCUGUGGAUAAGGAACUGAAGUGGUUGGAUGGUCACAGCCAUAGGAUUGUGGUCAAGAGCACUAUGUCCAGGUGGAAACUGGUGAUGAGUGGUGUCCCCCUGGGCUUUGUCUAGGGACUAAUGCUCUCAACAUCUCUAUUGAUGAAUUGAGACAGUGGGGAUGAGAUGCACCCUCAGCUAGUUUGCAGAUGACACUUAUCUGGGGGUUCCAGUUGAUACAGUAGAUGGUAGGGAUGCUAUCCAAAGGACAUGGACAAGCUUGAGAAGUGAGUCCACAUGAAUUGAAUGAGAUUCAGCACGUCCAUGUGUUGAACUUGGACUUGGGUCAGGUUCUUCCCGAGUGUGAUUACAGUCUCGGAGAUGAACUAACUGAGAGCAGCCCCGUGGAGAAGGACUCAGAGUUUCAGGUGCACAAAGAUCUUGACGUGAGCCAUAAAUGUAUGGCUGUGGUACAGAUGACCAACUGUACUGUGGGCUCCAUCAGAAUAGAUUGCUAGCAGGGUGACGGAGGUGAUUGUCGCCCUCUGUUUUGCCCUUGUGAGGUCCCAUGUGGAAUAUUGUGUCCAGGUUUAUGCCCACCAGCACUACCAUGGAGCAAGUGGAGCAAAACCAGAGGAGGACAUGAAGAUAAUCAGAAAGUUGAAGCACCUCUGCUAUGACGUAAUGCUGAGGCGGACUGGCUUGUUCAGCCUAGAGAAGAAUCACACUGUGGCUUUCUAAUACUUAC